rnacentral:rRNA from 1 species
GACGAACGCUGGCGGCGUGCUUAACACAUGCAAGUCGAACGGAAAGGCCCUGCUUUUGUGGGGUGCUCGAGUGGCGAACGGGUGAGUAACACGUGAGUAACCUGCCCUUGACUUUGGGAUAACUUCAGGAAACUGGGGCUAAUACCGGAUAGGAGCUCCUGCUGCAUGGUGGGGGUUGGAAAGUUUCGGCGGUUGGGGAUGGACUCGCGGCUUAUCAGCUUGUUGGUGGGGUAGUGGCUUACCAAGGCUUUGACGGGUAGCCGGCCUGAGAGGGUGACCGGCCACAUUGGGACUGGGGUACGGCCCAGACUCCUACGGGGGGCAGCAGUGGGGAAUAUUGCACAAUGGGCGGAAGCCUGAUGCAGCAACGCCGCGUGCGGGAUGGCGGCCUUCGGGUUGUAAACCGCUUUCGCCUGUGACGAAGCGUGAGUGACGGUAAUGGGUAAAGAAGCACCGGCUAACUACGUG